AUUUACCAUUUACCAUGUACCUCCCGUAAACACAGGUAAAUAACAAUUAAAGGAGAAUAAAGGAUUCGAUAAACAUAAGGGACCGACAACCGAGCCUCCCAAAGACAAGAAGAUGCUUUGGAUUCUGUUGCCUGUAUUGGGGGUUCUGGUAGCAGGGGUCAUCUUUGUUCUGAAAAAGUACACGAAGGGCCACGGACACACAGGCACGGCAGAGAACGGAACAGAAAACGCUUCCUUUCAAAGCAGAUCUGAGAGCAAUAAAGACGGGGUGAUGCUUCUGGGGGUGAAAACAUCAGAAGGGGAGGGAAACGCAGCUGCAAGAUAAGGAAGAACCAACAUACUACUGAGUGGACCAAGAGACAGGCCAGUCCUAUGACCAGGAAAAAAGGGUUCCAAGUCUUGCACUGUUUGAUUAUUUGGCUUUUUUUGUUACACUUAAACACAAUGGGGCAACUGCAACCAGACUAGCAGGAGUUUAAACCUCAUGUUUAAUCCCCUAGGACACAGAACUGCAUUAAUACUGGAACAGCUACUACUAUUCUCAGAUUGAGAGUAGCUAUUCCACUUAUAUACAGAAGUUCCACUUCUAUAUGGACUAGAGGUUUAACCUGAAACUCCUGCUCAGUUGAUUGCAUUUGUUACAAAUGUCACAUUAAAUCUAUUACACAUAAACAGUUAUUUGGAAACAAACUACAUUGCCUGAGUGAUGUGCUGUCAGGUGCAAGAGGAAAUGAUGUCACUGACAAAUCUCAUCUAGAGACAUGUGGCAGUCAUUUAAAAAAAAGACUGGAAGUUGAAUAUUUGUAAUAUGGAGAAAAGACCUUUUUUAAAAAGAUGAAUGGAAAGCAACAUAGUGCUUUUAUACCCUGAUGUGUCUAGUGGGCUACAGGCUAAAUGGGUAAAUGAAGCUGUUGCGUACAGUGAGACUAGGCCAGAACCAAGGGUUGAGAGACAGAAGCUGCCAUUGGAACACUGAGUGAAAACAAACAAUGAUGCUGAACUUUCUGGAAGCUUCUGCAUGUGUACGUAAAACAUGUUAUAAGCCUAUAGGGAACAUUAGUAAAUUUGAGAUGUAAAAAAAUUAAGUAAAGCAUUAACAUGCACACACGUACACAUGGGCACACACAUACACGCACUCACACAAACACACACGCGCAUACUCACACACAUGCAUGCACACACACAUGCAAACAAACAUACAAGUGCAUGCACAAACAGCAGAUCACUGAAAAGAUUGUUACACAGUGGUUAAAAUGUAUAUUUUUAGAAAUUGCACAAGGAAGAGUCUUUUGAGCCAAAUAACUUCUGCCAGCGAUCGAUUACACACUGUUUUAUUUUGUUGUGUUUUUUCCUUUCAUUUGGCUAUAAGAAUCAGUCUUGAUUGUCCAUUCUAUGCAGUAAAGAAUAUUAUAUUCAUUUUCUGAUAAAUUCAGUAGUUGUACAAAUAUGCUUAAUGAUAAUUUUAUUAUUAUGUUUGUAUGUGUAAUCUCAAGGAAAAAUCAAUCCAAACCCCUCAUUCCUCAUAACGUUUUGUGAAUUGUGACCAGUGAAAUCCUUGAACCAGAGGCAAAUAUUGUGGCAAAGUUUUUUAGUGGAAUGUUUCAUAUGUCAAAGGGAAAUAUUUCAGAUGGCAAAAAGCAUGCAUAAACGUAAAACAGCACCAUCUUAUCUAUCCCAGUGCUUAGCAUAUCACUGCUCUGCUGGGUUUGCAUAAAGGAUUCCUUUAAUACCGAAUGUCAUUAGAAUCAAAUGAUUCUAGAAUCAAAGAAAAUGAGGGGACAUAUACUUUAUAUGUCUGAUGUUAGAAUUGUGGACUGUUGUUUAAUUUUAAAAUAAAAUGGCAUAAUAUACCUUCACACCACA